rnacentral:rRNA from 1 species
GACGAACGCUGGCGGCGUGCCUAAUACAUGCAAGUCGAACGAGAGCGACCGGUGCUUGCACUGGUCAAUCUAGUGGCGAACGGGUGAGUAACACGUGGGUAACCUGCCCAUCAGAGGGGGAUAACAUCCGGAAACGGAUGCUAAAACCGCAUAGGUCUUCGAGCCGCAUGGCUUGAAGAGGAAAAGAGGCGCAAGCUUCUGCUGAUGGAUGGACCCGCGGUGCAUUAGCUAGUUGGUGAGGUAACGGCUCACCAAGGCCGUGAUGCAUAGCCGACAUGAGAGGGUGAUCGGCCACAUUGGGACUGAGACACGGCCCAAACUCCUACGGGAGGCAGCAGUAGGGAAUCUUCCGCAAUGGACGCAAGUCUGACGGAGCAACGCCGCGUGAGUGAAGAAGGUGUUCGGAUCGUAAAACUCUGUUGUUAGAGAAGAACAAGUGCUAGAGUAACUGUUAGCGCCUUGACGGUAGCUAACCAGAAAGCCACGGCUAACUACGUG